rnacentral:lncRNA from 1 species
GAUGUGACUUGGUCCACAACAGAGGAACACCCACAUUGUAUCUGGUGGCUGGAAUUUGUCUUUGAUCUCUGUGAUUUAGCAGUGGGCCUUGACCCCUGGGGUGUCCACUGGGAGGGAUUGCCCAAAUGUGGGGGAUGUGGGAUAUGUAAAUCUGAACUGUGUCUCAGAAUUGGCCUUGGAGGGUGGGGCUUAGAGUGAGGAUACUCAAAUUUGAGAAGUUUCUUGCAAGAAACCCCCAUAUAUGUGUGACCUCGAGAUGGGAGAAGCUAGCAGCAGGCCCAUUAGUGCUAGGGGGCCAACCACUUUUUCUGUGCUACCUAGAGGUGUGAAGCAUUGGGCCAAGGUGAAAGAAGGACUAGCCAAGUGGAAGAGAGAAAGAAAGAAAACCCAAGGUUGGUUUGAAUCCUGGUUUAACAAUUCUCCUUGGGUUACCACCCUGAUCUCCUCCCUAUUAGGCUUCUUAGUCAUCUUGAUUUUACUUCUGACUUUUGGCCCCUACAUUUGCAACUGCUUGGCCACUUUUGUUAAGGAAUGCAUAGGUACAGUCCAGCUACUGAUCUUAAAGCAGAGAUACAAAGAACUAGAUACAGAAGACCAGUAGUAUGAGAAAUCAGAAUACCAGCAAUAGCUUCGGGAUUGAAACAUGCACAAGAAAAAAGGGGGUGGGGGGGUAAAGAGGUCAGCUCAGGACCUUUGGAAAAUUCCACCAGGCACCCCUCCCCCUCGAAGAGAGAGGUCGUGAAGCAUGUAGGCACCCCUCCCCUCCAGAAGGGAGGGGGGACCAACCAUUGGUCACCCGCAGAGACCAAUCAAUUUAAAAGUCACACUGUUCUGCCAAUCAUAUUGUGCCUAGUUGCUGGUGCUCCAUUCUGCCCCCUGGAAACUGUAUAAAAACUUGCUGAAUGGGCUGCCUGAGGUUAUUGCCUCUCCUUCAGGUGCAGGAUGACCCCAGUGCACAGGAACAAUAAAUACCUCUUGUUUUAGCAUCGAUCCCCAGAUCCAUGUGGCUCACUCAGGGGGUCCUCGGUAGCUAAAGCUCACCAGAGUCUUACACUAACUUUAAAUUUUUAAAUAAGUGAAGUAUAUUCUGGAAAUAAAUACUUUGUUUGAUUUACAAUCAUUUCCUGCCAACUAUAGCUUUUCUUUACAUUGAUUCUUAUUCUUAUCAUUUUAAAUUAUGCGUAGGGGUGUGUGUCUACAUGUGGAUGUGUGCUCAUGUGUGGGGGCACUGGAAUGUGGCCACCAGCUGUGCUAUUGAUAAUCAUAGGCCACCUGGCAUGGGUUCUAGGAAUUAAACUCAUGUCUCUGAAGAGCAGCAGGCACUCUUAACUGCUGCACCAUUUCUUUACUUUCCCCUCUUCUUGCUUUCUUUCAUUUUUAAAAAAUGGUAUCUUUGGCAGAUUUUUUUUUCAUUUUGAUGAAAUCUAAUAUUUUUCCUGGUCCAUUUAUACUUUCAGUAUCACAUCUAAGAGUUCUAUCCUGAUUCAUGGUCACAAGGAUUUUCUUCUAAAAGCUUUAUAGUUUUAUGUGUCACAUUUCAAUUACAACCCGCUUGAGUUUUUUUGUUUGGGAAGGUGGUGUUUCUCUGUCUGGGUUAGGAGUCUAACGCAGGCCUCCAGCAGGCCAGACAAGCACUGUGACACUGGGACCCACUAUAAAUCAGUUUUAUAUGUGGUGUGAGGUUUAGGAUGUAGUUGACCUUUUGUAUAAGGAUGUCACAAUCAACACCACUUGAUGAAAAAAGAUCUUUGUCAAGUUUCUCUGAUACAGAAAUUCAAAUAUUAGCUACUGUACUGUGUAGAUCUUCUCCUAUAUGUCUCGCUAAUGGGUCUUUCUCUUUUACUACAUUAUGUAGAUCACUAUAUUUUAUAGGAAGUCUCACAAUUGGAUGAUAUGAUUCCUCCAACAUUCUUCCUUUUAAAAGUUAUGUUCUUUUAGGAAAACCACCUUACUAUUAUAUGGUUUGGUGUAUCUCCCCUCUUAUGUUGCUGUCUUAUAUAUUACACCCACAGACACUGAAAACCUCAUCAUGGCCUGGGGAUGGAGCCUGGUGCAGGUCACUUUUCCAGCAUGUGUGAGGACCUGAGUUCAAUUCCCAGCACUGUGAAAUAAAAUAUUAGGUACUUGUGAUAAGCUGUCUUUGUCAUCAAGUUGAUUGGAUUAGAAUCACAUCUGGAAUGUGUCUACAAUGGUACCUUCCAGAAAGGUUUGACCAAAGAGGGAAAAACACAUCCUGAUUGUGAACAGCACCAUUGCCAGACGAAUCCAAGAGGACAGGGUGGCAACAUCCCCAUCUCUGCUUCCUGAGUGCAGGCAUCCAGGUGACCAGACACCUCAUGUCCCUUCUAUGCCCUGGCGGACUGCAUGCUCACAUUGUGAGACAAGAUAUGCCCGUCACAUGUUGCUUGUAUUGGGUAUUUGACCACACAGUGAGGAACAGAGCUGUUACAAGACUUCCAGUCUCUGCUGUCAGUGACCAAGCGUUCGGUUGCAGAGGAAAGGUACCUGUUCUUUCUUUCCUAACGUUCUAAGUUCCCUUCGGCUACUCUUUCUCUCUUAAGCAAUAACCACAGAUAAGGUCUUCCAGUAACAGUUUCUUCAUUUUCCUUUUACCUUCAGUCUGAAGAAUAUUUCAGUAGUUACAGAAUUCCGUCUGGGUAAUUAUUUCCUUUUCAGCAUUUGAAAAGUAUUGGUCCACUUUCUUCCGGUUGUCAUGGUUUCUCAUGAGAAUCUAUAAUCACUGAAAUUUUGUUCUGCUUCAUGAAUAUGUUGCUUUUUGUUCUGGUUACUUUCAGAACUUCUUCUGUGUCUCUGUCUUUCAUCACUUUGAUUAUUAGGUGUCUGGGCGUAAAGUCCUUUGUAUUUAUUCCUGUUUUGGGUAUUUUAAGCUUUCUAAAUUGAGAAGGUUUUAGAAAAAAAAAUUUUUUUUGAGGCAAGGUCUCUCUAUGUAGCCCUGUCUAUCCCAGAACUCACUAAGCAAACCAGACUGGCCUCAAACUCAGAGAUCCACUUGCCUCUACUUCCCCAGUGCUAUGAUUAAAGGUGUGCCACCAUACCCAGCUAAACCUAGUUCAUCUCAUGGAUUUUCUAUUUUCCUUCUGUUUCAUUCACUCUAACUUUCUAUGAGAAUCUUCAGUAUUUGGCUAUCCUUGGCAUUGUUACACAUAUUUUUCUACCAGAGAUUUUUCUGUUUUUUCAUAUUCUGAAUAACUGCCUUGAUCCUAGACAUUUUGAAUGUUAUUCUAUGGAUCUUCAAGUCUUACUUAAAUCCUACUAAUGAUGUUGUUAUUUUAGCUUUAGCAGACAAUAGAUCCAGCUGGAUUCAGGCUCUAAGUUCUAAGUGGCCUUCUGCAAGCUGAGCUUCCAUGUCAGCUCAAUUUUCAAAGCCUUGCUAUGCUAUUCAGCUCCUUCCCACGUGUUCACCGCCAAGUGUCCAGUGUGGGCUUUGAACACCAAUUUUUUCCAGAGAAGAGCUCUCAAAGACUGUGCACACUGACAAGGGUUGGCGCAACUCUGUGCAUUCCAAAGGUAGAGCUGAUACAUAAAUAACUUUCAAGAUUGCCUUCUUGAGCUGCUAACAUCCCAAUAUUUACCUUUGUGAUUCCUCUUUUCUUAUCCCGCAGUAAGGGAAAGCCAGUGAUUCCUUUACCCCACUCUACCACUUCCCACAAUGCAUUAGGACCAAGCAGCAGGAGGCACCAUAGGGGCUCACCUGAUCCUUGACCUCAGCUCCUCGAAAUAGAAACUUCUUUAUGACUGCCAUUGCCAAAGUGAUGAAAGAUUUUUGAACCAGAAUUAUUACAGGACUUCUACUGAAGUCUCUCUGCCCAUACCCGUGUGUAGGUUGAGGUUUCAGAUGGAAUUAAAUUUAGUCC